UCCUAGCUGUAAACGAUGGAUACUAGGUGUGGGUGGCAUUGACCCCAUCCGUGCCGUAGCUAACGCGAUAAGUAUCCCGCCUGGGGACUACGGCCGCAAGGUUAAAACUCAAAGGAAUUGACGGGGGCCCGCACAAGCAGCGGAGCGUGUGGUUUAAUUCGAUGCUACACGAAGAACCUUACCAGGGCUUGACAUGCUGGUGGUACGGAUCCGAAAGGGCGAGGACCCGCAAGGGAGCCAGCACAGGUGCUGC
rnacentral:rRNA from 1 species